CCUACGGGUGGCUGCAGUGGGGGAUAUUGCACAAUGGGGGAAACCCUGAUGCAGCGACGCCGCGUGUGGGAAGACGGUCCUCUGGAUUGUAAACCACUGUCCCCAGGGACGAAGAUGACGGUACCUGGGGAGGAAGCUACGGCUAACUACGUGCCAGCAGCCGCGGUAAUACGUAGGGAGCGAGCGUUGCCGGGAUUUACUGGGUGAAAGGGGACCGUAGGCGGGACUGCAAGUUGGGUUGCAAAUCUACAGGCUCAACCGGUAGCCGCACUCAAAACUGCAGUUCUUGAGUGAAGUAGCGGCAGGCGGAAUGCCUAGUGUAGCGGUGAAAUGCGUAGAGAUUAGGAGGAACACCAGUGGCGAAGGCGGCCUGCUGGGCUUUUACUGACGUUGAGGCUCGAAAGUGUGGGGAGCAAACAGGAUUAGAUACCCGAGUAGUC
rnacentral:rRNA from 1 species